CUGCACCUGGUCCAGGGAUUUGUGCCAACAAUGUUCCAGCCCCCUAUCUAAUCUCAAAGCUCCUGCUGCCCCAGACGUGUGUCACUGAAUCCCUGGCACUGAAAGGCAACAGCGUGGGACACGGGCCUUCUUCGAACUUUCGUCACUUCACCUCCACCUCCACCUCCAGAAAACCCCCACUGUUCCCAGCUGUUAGGCCCAAAGGGACACACCCGACAUUGGCCAUGUGUACUCAGGAAACCUUCAGGCCCGAGUCCUGGCCUUUGGGCUUCCAACCUUACUUUUCACUCUGAACUCCAAGCCAAGAUGCAGUUGGAUAGAUUUCAAGGUGGAGGAAGGCCAGCCUCCAACUCCCUGUUCCUCUCCUGUCCAAGGAACUUGCUGGAUGGAUAUCAGCUCCCAAACAACUCCCUCCCUCAUCCUCCCUUUCUCUACCUCCUUCACCGUAUCCUCAUAUUUCACCACUCACAUGUGGGAAAUCCCUCCACCUCUCCACCUCUCACUCAGAACACACAUCUCUCUACGACUUGCUCUCUCCUGUUAGUGCUGUGGUGUUUGUGGUCCAUUUUGUCUAAAUCAAUAUGUGCAAAAUGGAGAAUAGAUUGGAUCAUUUUGACAUUUGGAUCUCAAUGUAUUUGUGCUUUUUCAGAUGGCUCAGAAGGUCAGAGGCAGAUGUGGUUUCAUAUUUAGUUUGGAUCCACUCUGACAGUGAUUUGCUCGGCUUCUGCUAAAUCUCACAUUGUUGUAGUGUAAUGGGAUGUGAGCCGCAAGGUCAGUUUGUUAGCGUGUGUGUGUGUUUUUAUUUUGCGUAUUUCCUAUAUUGUGUAUUUUUUUUAGUCUGCCUAUACUUUUUAUGCGUUUAUGUGCAUCUUUUCAUUGCUUUCUCACUUUGUCUCCCUAUCCCUGUGUGCUUGUUUGUGUGUUUACGCACUUUUGUUUGUGUGUGGUUAGUUGAGGUUGAUGAGAAGCCCAGAGUUUGGCAGGGGAGUCAUUGUGGCCAGUGCUCUGUUUAUACAAGUUUCUGGCAUGGUCUUUGUGAAAAGUAUUCUGUCCUCCUCUGGCCUUACAAACAGGAGCAUAAACACACACACACAGUCACUCCUCUGUAGCUUUCAUCUUCACAUCAUUCACUAUUGUAAAAAUCUGCUUUAAAACUGAGUUAAAAGCCAGUCGGAUCAGGGUGAAGGAAUUAGAAUUAAUCAAUCUUGUAAAACCGCUUAUGCUUCACACAGCCGCAGGCCUUAGUCAGCGAAUGAGUCACUCUGUUGCUUGUUUGAUUCCACACAAGCUGUACUGAUGGAGUGGAGCAGAAAAACUAUUUAACAUCUGCUACAUAAUAAAUUAUAGUAUUGUACCUAACUAAUUAAGUAAUGGUCAAGUUUGAGUUUCUUAAGAAUCAGCGUGACUCACAAGUCAAGAUUUUACAGACCCAGUCUGACUUAUAGAAGAGGGCGUAGGUUUGUUUUUCAGAAAUUGUCAUGGGUUUGCAAAAGAAACAAAAAAAAUCCUGAAAGAUGCUACGCUAACCAAUAACAUAUGAAAUAGGAUGUUAUGCUUUUCAUAAAAAUGAUCGCUGUGUUUUACAUAAUAAUGUUAGUCCAAAAAAAAGAAAGAAAAAAUUGUUUUAAUGCACUAACCUUAAGCAAAAUUAUUUUUUGUUUCAUUGAUAGAGGAGUGGUAGGAGAGGUUUGAGAUUUUGGGAAGCACACUUAAGAACAAUGUCCCCUACUGCCAAUUGUCCAUCUAUUGAUCAUAUUAUAAUUACAUGUGGUCAACUGUAAACAAUGUUCCAGAAAAACAUGAAAAGGAGGUUGACAAAGUUUUUUCAGGCCUAGGUAGCAUCUACAAUUGUUCCUCUCCACCAAUCAGAGUCCUGCAUGUAGCCUGAAAGGUGAAUCCCAGGAAGGGUGAUGAUGAACCUCUGGAUUAUAACGACUAGACAGUAAGAAAACACUAUUUACUAUAGGGACUACAUUAAACUGCAUUGUUCUUUCUCUGUAUUGUAGAUAUUAAACUGUAAUAUGCUACUUUCAUACUGUAUGUCUGUAUUGACUGAACUCUUGCUCCUGAUUCAGAACACUUGAGGUUUCUUCUUGAGAAUUGGCCUCUCUAUCUGUUAUGAACAUAUGUCUUGUACUGUGCCUGGACAAUGUCUUGUUAGGCUGAGUAACACUUCACUUGACAUUCAAAUCUGCCUCCAACAUAGUCAAACUGGAUUUUUUACUUCCGUUGCCAAAAACUAGAUUGCUGUUUAUGUCUUUUUCUCUCCUAAUAUUUACAUGCUGUAAAAGCGCCAGUAAACACCUUGUCUUGAUUGUGGCAUUAUCCCAACAAUCCGUUACUGACUAAGAUGUUAGUUAUACUUAGUAAGAUGUCUGUCACCUGGCUGGAUCCACACAAUAAAGCUUAUUUCCAUUUCCAUGACACCAAAUGCGCUAAUGUCCUCUUUGACGCCUGAUUUUAUUGAUGAGACGUUACCCAUCUUGAGUGUAGUUACAUCUGGAUUUCAUGUCGUGUUUGUCUUUUCUGAAUGCAAAAUAAACAGUUUUUCCUUUCA